AAUGAACGCUGGCGGUAGGCCUAACACAUGCAAGUCGAACGGCAGCACAGUAAGAGCUUGCUCUUACGGGUGGCGAGUGGCGGACGGGUGAGGAAUACAUCGGAAUCUACUUUUUCGUGGGGGAUAACGUAGGGAAACUGACGCUAAUACCUCAUACGACCUACGGGUUAAAUCAGGGGAUCUUCGGACCUUGCGCGAUUGAAUGAGCCGAUGUCGGAUUAGCUAGUUGGCGUGGUAAAGUCCCACCAAGGCGACGAACCGUAGCUGGUCUGAGAGGAUGAUCAGCCAAACUGGAACUGAGAAACGGUCCCAAAUCCUAAGGGAGGCAGCAGUGGGGAAUAUUGGACAAUGGGGGCAAGCCUGAUCCAGCCAUACCGGGUGGGUGAAGAAGGCCUUCGGGUUGUAAAGCCCUUUUGUUGGGAAAGAAAAGUAGCAGGUUAAUACCCCGCUGUUCUGACGGUACCCAAAGCAUAAGCACCGGCUAACUUCGUG
rnacentral:rRNA from 1 species